rnacentral:antisense_RNA from 1 species
CUUCACCGAUCCCAGCCACAACGGCCGGUCACGUCCCUGGCCGUAGGUGGCGGCGAGGGCUCGGGCCUC